CUAAGGCUUCAGUGUGUGUCAAGCUGGGACUCACGUUAAGUCUGGAGUCACUCUGUCUGGAUCGUUUUUCUGCCAGGAGAUCUUUGACCGUGUGCUUCACUCUCACGCCUUGGUAUACUCGUUUGCUGUAAUCUCCUGGGACUUAAGCAAAGAGGAUAGUCAGUCAGAUCUAGAUGGGGUAGUAAGGUCAACCUCCCAGGGAUGUACUCAGGGUUAAUAAUCUUGAUGCCGUUUUCCCAUUCAAAUAGUAGAGAUCUGGAAUAUGAAGUGGCUUCAGUAGAGUCCAAACUCUGGUCCUUGAUGGAAACUCACCCAGGCUCUGUAUAAGUAAAACAAGAAACACUCUGUGUCUUCUGCACAAGAGCUCUUUAAAAUGUCCUCUUUUUUUCUACUUUGAUUUGUCAAGAUUUACUCCAGCAAGAUUGAUAACUUAGGUUUUAAUCACCAGAUAAGGGAUUGGAUAGAAAUUGAAAUAAUGAUUCUUAUUACAUGUAGAAGAAGUUAGAUUUGCAUGACUCAGGUCACAGGCUGUUUGGCUGUCCCACAUCUUGGUACCUGAUGAAGGAGCAGGUCAACUGGAUGAUCAUUCCUAAGAGGAAAGUCAUUUAUUUACUACACUAAAAGAGUGUGCUUUGUUUUUAAAAAUAUGGUGACAUGA
rnacentral:lncRNA from 1 species